rnacentral:rRNA from 1 species
GCGUUAAUCGGAAUUACUGGGCGUAAAGCGUGCGCAGGCGGUUAUGUAAGACAGAUGUGAAAUCCCCGGGCUCAACCUGGGAACUGCAUUUGUGACUGCAUGGCUAGAGUACGGUAGAGGGGGAUGGAAUUCCGCGUGUAGCAGUGAAAUGCGUAGAUAUGCGGAGGAACACCGAUGGCGAAGGCAAUCCCCUGGACCUGUACUGACGCUCAUGCACGAAAGCGUG